GUGAGGAAUAUUGGUCAAUGGGCGGAAGCCUGAACCAGCCAAGUAGCGUGCAGGAUGACGGCCCUAUGGGUUGUAAACUGCUUUUAUACGGGGAUAAAGUCAGCCACGUGUGGUUGAUUGCAGGUACCGUAUGAAUAAGGACCGGCUAAUUCCGUGCCAGCAGCCGCGGUAAUACGGAAGGUCCGGGCGUUAUCCGGAUUUAUUGGGUUUAAAGGGAGCGCAGGCCGGAAGCAAAGCGUGCCGUGAAAUGUAGAUGCUCAACAUCUGAAUUGCGGCGCGAACUGGUUUUCUUGAGUGCAUACGAGGUAGGCGGAAUUUGUGGUGUAGCGGUGAAAUGCUUAGAUAUCACGAAGAACUCCAAUUGCGAAGGCAGCUCACUGGGGUACAACUGACACUGAGGCUCGAAAGUGUGGGUAUCAAACAGGAUUAGAAACCCCGGUAGUCC
rnacentral:rRNA from 1 species